rfam:Stegodyphus mimosarum contig100563, whole genome shotgun sequence.
GCCUUCGUGGUGUAGUGGUCUCCAUGCUGGACGCGUAACCGAGAGGUCCGUGGUUCGAUUCCCGGCGAAGGCG